GACGAACGCUGGCGGCGUGCCUAAUACAUGCAAGUCGAACGCACUCUCGUUUAGAUUGAAGGAGUUUGCUCCUGAUUGCUCAACAUUUGAGUGAGUGGCGGACGGGUGAGUAACACGUGGGUAACCUGCCCUAAAGUGGGGGAUAACAUUUGGAAACAGAUGCUAAUACCGCAUAAAACCUAACACCGCAUGGUGUAGGGUUGAAAGAUGGUUUCGGCUAUCACUUUAGGAUGGACCCGCGGUGCAUUAGUUAGUUGGUGAGGUAAAGGCUCACCAAGACCGUGAUGCAUAGCCGACCUGAGAGGGUAAUCGGCCACACUGGGACUGAGACACGGCCCAGACUCCUACGGGAGGCAGCAGUAGGGAAUCUUCCACAAUGGACGAAAGUCUGAUGGAGCAACGCCGCGUGAGUGAAGAAGGUUUUCGGAUCGUAAAACUCUGUUGUUGGAGAAGAAUGUAUCUGAUAGUAACUGAUCAGGUAGUGACGGUAUCCAACCAGAAAGCCACGGCUAACUACGUG
rnacentral:rRNA from 1 species